UACAGAGGUCUCAAGCGUUGUUCGGAUUCACUGGGUUUAAAGGGUGCGUAGGCGGGCAGGUAAGUCAGAGGUGAAAUCUCCGGGCUUAACCCGGAAACUGCCUUUGAUACUAUCUGUCUUGAAUAUGGUGGAGGUAAGCGGAAUAUGUCAUGUAGCGGUGAAAUGCUUAGAUAUGACAUAGAACACCCAUUGCGAAGGCAGCUUACUACGCCUAUAUUGACGCUGAGGCACGAAAGCGUGGGGAUCAAACAGG
rnacentral:rRNA from 1 species